GACGAACGCUGGCGGCGUGCCUAAUACAUGCAAGUCGAGCGAAGUUUUUCUGGUGCUUGCACCGGAAAAACUUAGCGGCGAACGGGUGAGUAACACGUAAAGAACCUGCCUCAUAGACUGGGACAACUAUUGGAAACGAUAGCUAAUACCGGAUAAUAGCAUUAACUGCAUGGUUGAUGUUUAAAAGUUGGUUUUGCUAACACUAUGAGAUGGCUUUGCGGUGCAUUAGCUAGUUGGUGGGGUAAAGGCCUACAAGGCGACGAUGCAUAGCCGACCUGAGAGGGUGAUCGGCCACACUGGGACUGAGACACGGCCCAGACUCCUACGGGAGGCAGCAGUAGGGAAUCUUCCGCAAUGGGCGAAAGCCUGACGGAGCAACGCCGCGUGAGUGAAGAAGGAUUUCGGUUCGUAAAGCUCUGUUGUUAGGGAAGAAUGAUUGUGUAGUAACUAUACACAGUAGAGACGGUACCUAACCAGAAAGCCACGGCUAACUACGUG
rnacentral:rRNA from 1 species